CUCGUGUCACCAGUUCAAAU
rnacentral:tRNA from 1 species